UAGGGAAUCUUCGGCAAUGGGGGCAACCCUGACCGAGCAACGCCGCGUGAGUGAAGAAGGUUUUCGGAUCGUAAAGCUCUGUUGUAAGAGAAGAACGAGUGUGAGAGUGGAAAGUUCACACUGUGACGGUAACUUACCAGAAAGGGACGGCUAACUACGUGCCAGCAGCCGCGGUAAUACGUAGGUCCCGAGCGUUAUCCGGAUUUAUUGGGCGUAAAGCGAGCGCAGGCGGUUAGAUAAGUCUGAAGUUAAAGGCUGUGGCUUAACCAUAGUACGCUUUGGAAACUGUUUAACUUGAGUGCAGAAGGGGAGAGUGGAAUUCCAUGUGUAGCGGUGAAAUGCGUAGAUAUAUGGAGGAACACCGGUGGCGAAAGCGGCUCUCUGGUCUGUAACUGACGCUGAGGCUCGAAAGCGUGGGGAGCAAACAGGAUUAGAUACCCUGGUAGUCCACGCCGUAAACGAUGAGUGCUAGGUGUUGGGUCCUUUCCGGGACUCAGUGCCGCAGCUAACGCAUUAANCACUCCGCCUGGGGAGUACGACCGCAAGGUUG
rnacentral:rRNA from 1 species